rnacentral:rRNA from 1 species
GUAGGUGGCAAGCGUUGUCCGGAAUUAUUGGGCGUAAAGCGCGCGCAGGCGGUUCUUUAAGUCUGAUGUGAAAGCCCACGGCUCAACCGUGGAGGGUCAUUGGAAACUGGGGGACUUGAGUACAGAAGAGGAAAGCGGAAUUCCAAGUGUAGCGGUGAAAUGCGUAGAGAUUUGGAGGAACACCAGUGGCGAAGGCGGCUUUCUGGUCUGUAACUGACGCUGAGGCGCGAAAGCGUGGGGAGCAAACAGGGAUUAGAUACCCUGGUAGUCCACGCCGUAAACGAUGAGUGCUAAGUGUUAGGGGGGUUUCCCGCCCCCCUAGUGCUGCAGCUAACGCAUUAAGCACUCCGCCUGGGGAGUACGGCCGCAAGGCUG